UUGCUGCUGAUCCAGGGAGUAUGAACCAAAUCACUGCAGCAGCUAGGAGUGCAAGGCAAAGCUUCUUAAAUUUCCUUCUUUGGGCUUGCUUCUCAUUGAUUUGGACUUCCUUCUCGCGUGCGUCUAUCAGCGGAUCAUCUAGCUUCUCUCCCAGUGAUCGAUAUUAGUAGUAUGUUUCAAAAAAAUAGAUAUUAGUAGUAGUUCAUCGAUCGUGCGCGCAGAUUAACUUGCUGGGUUGCAGUCAUCAGUUGAUUUGAGUUGUUUCCACUGACCUAAUCUGUUGAGCAUAGUUGCAAAUUGUCAGGUAGCAUUGGGUCUCAUUCCAGAAAGAGAGAUCUUUAUUCAGUUGCUGAUGGGGAGCUGCCAGGAUCCUGAGGAUUUUGGAGGAGAUGUCAUGAUCUUGGUUUCCAUUGUACAGCCUCUGCUAGAGGAGAUCAAUGCCAUUUUGGUUAAACACCAGUUGGACAUGCUCAAAUGCACCUGAAACACAAGGAUGCCCAAUCACCUGCUGAUUGUACAUAUCUACUACUGUACUGCACAAGCUAAUUAACCUAGCUUGCAUUGUAAAAUGAAGAUUUGUUGGUGUUUCUUUUAGAAACUGCUUGUGGUUGGUUCCACACUCCCUUUUUGUUAAGCUGUCAGAGAUGUCUUUGCUGUAUGUGUUUGUGCCCUUGUAGUUGUAGUGGGUUGGAUGUAUCAUAGAACUUAUCUGCCUGAAACAAAAUGCAUCUCCUGUUUCUCUUUCUUCUCCUAUGCCUCGCUGUAUUUCCGUUGGCUAGCAAGAUGAUUAACGCUUCUUUAA